rnacentral:rRNA from 1 species
GUAGGGGGCAAGCGUUAUCCGGAUUUACUAGGUGUAAAGGGAGCGUAGACGGCUGUGCAAGUCUGAAGUGAAAGGCAUGGGCUCAACCUGUGGACUGCUUUGGAAACUGUGCAGCUAGGGUGUCGGAGAGGUAAGUGGAAUUCCUAGUGUAGCGGUGAAAUGCGUAGAUAUUAGGAGGAACACCAGUGGCGAAGGCGGCUUACUGUACGAUGACUGACGUUGAGGCUCGAAAGCGUGGGGAGCAAACAGGAUUAGAUACCCUGGUAGUCCACGCCGUAAACGAUGACUGCUAGGUGUCGGGAGGCAAAGCCUUUCGGUGCCGCAGCAAACGCAAUAAGCAGUCCACCUGGGGAGUACGUUCGCAAGAAUGAAACUCAA